CUUAACUUAAGUUAAGACCUCAUCAGUGUCAUCACCUCAAUACUUCACUAACUUCAUUUCUGAGUUCUCUGAGUUCUGCACAUCUGCUUCACGCCUUCACUUUCACCGGCCACCGCUUCACGCCGCCUUCACCUUCACCGCUUCACUUUAAGGUACAUUUCCUAAUUAGUUCCUACCAAAGAAAGGUUACCUCUUAUCCUUCAAAAAUAUUCGGGCUAAAGAAGUCUCCCUUGCAUCAGAGUGCUAGGAAUCACUCUGUGAAUCCUGGAUUCAAUGGUUAUUCUACUUGCAGGCAUAUGAGAAGAAGACCACUCCAAAAUGACGUUAUGAUCUUGGUCGGAAGAGGCAUUUUGAACAGGUUAGUUGAGUUUGGAAGAGAUUGUCAUUUGUCUGCUUUUACCAAGGUCGCUCUCAGUUGCAAGGUGAAAAUUGAUGCAUUUAAUGUAGCAUUAUAAUCUAAAUUAUAGAUAAAAGUUAUGUAGAAAGGUACAAGAUCAAAGGAGGUAAUCUCUCUUUUUGACUUUUUUGAAAUUGGUCAUGUUGCAAGGGAGGUAAUCUCUUUUACCAAGUGCUAUCCAUGUUCUCCAUUUUUUUAAUUCUGUAUGCUAUCCAUUUUUUUGAAUCAACUUCUGAAAAGUGAGGACAUCAUAUAAAGAAGUGGUACAUUGAUAGAAAAGCUUGAAGCCAAAAUUGAUUAUACCUUCUUAACCUUCUUGCUGCAUCUCAAUUGUCUUUGUUUUCUAGCAUUUUGUUUUCUAUUUAUCUUGUUUUUUUUAUUAAAUAUAAGGUAAUACCGAAAACCUAAUCAAUGAGACAAGAUAUUGCAUGAAAUCUCAGUACCAAAAUACUGAAAAUAGAGUUUUGUAAGGCUACAUGUUAAUACAUAUACUGUUUUGUUCUGUUUUUCUAUGAUUUUUUAAGGGUUGAAGUGAGCACAGUUGAUCAUUCAUGUUGAGUUAAUCAUGCAAGUGCUUCUGUGCUUGUGAAACAUUUUCUGAAAUUGUGUAUACUGACUAAGAGACAAAGAUACAGUGAUGCUCUAAUUAGUUCCAAGAUCAGGUUGUGGUGUAUGACUCUUCCCUUUGUCAGCUCCUAAAGGAUACAGUGAUGCUUCUAAACAGUUUCUGGCUUUCUGCAAUGUCGGGAUUUUCAUCACUGGGGUUAUAUGCGUCAUUGAAGUUGGGAGAUUUUGAAUAAGCCAUAAUGUACAUAUUUUUUACAAUUAGUUUGAGACUCAAUUGUAUACUUGUAUUCGAUCCAUUGUUUAGUUUGUUAUUAAAAAUCUUCACAUCUCUUAUUA